rnacentral:lncRNA from 1 species
AAAUCUUGGAGAAGUCUCCAUUCUGGGAACCUCCUCCUUCUCAUCUAUGGAGAGGAAAGAAGGAUCCCUGGAGUGAGAUAAAGAAAAUAUAGAAAAGUAAGGGAGUGUCUUCACAUCCCAGCAGGGCACGUGGAGGAGGAGGAGGUGUUGACUAUGGACAGCAAGAAGAAACAUCACCAUCACAAAACACCCACCCAGGACAGGGGCCCUUUCAACAAGGAGCAUAAGAGACUGUUUCUGCCUCUGAUAGAAGCCCAGCAUUUUGUUUUUCUCCACAUAUUUUAAUCAAUAUUUACCAAGCCAUAACAAUCUGGCUUUCACUGUCACCCUGGGGUUGAGUUUCAUGAGUAACUACCUUUUCCACUGGCUGCAGAAAUAAUGACUCCAUAUAUGAUUGGCAGAAGGUCAUUGAUUUGAGCAUAGGAAAAUGAGCAGUUUCAAGAAAAAAGCUGGCAUUUCUGCAUGAGUGAAUCAGUGCAAAUCUA